UCCCAAACCCGAGCUUUCUCCUCUCUUCCCCGAUCUCCCCUCUUCCUUCUAUGUUCUCUCUCUCGCGGACGAAUCGGAGGCGACGGGAGCGGAGCUUCUCCGUUGGCGAUCAUCCUCGUUCGUCGGAGCUUGCUGGAGCACGGCGGAGCCUAGAUCUUCUUCGGCCGAGGGGUUUUGUCCCGUGAGUUCUGCGGCUAAGCGUCAACGGCGAGGUGGCUAGGGCACGGUGAGGAGCAAGAUUCGUCGCCUCCCAACCGAUCGACCUCCGUUCUUCUCUCCUCGCACUACUCAUAGUGCGAUCCAUCUCUUCCUUGGCCGGAUCUGGAUCGAGCCGUGCCACCCGAUCACCGGCGUGGAAGGGGCGAUUAGGGCUUCAAUGGGUUUCGGUUGAUGACGAUGGGAUCCAUUGAGUUGUUGGGCAGAGGCUUGAAGGGUUGAUUGAUGUCUUGGAUUGCUUGAUUUGAGAUCAGUGAUCUGCUUGUUGAUUCUUCCUUCUUGAUCCGAGUGAUCCAGCAGUAAGGCCCUGUUCUGUGGAAGACUUCCUGGUUCCAGCAAUCAACAGCAGCUCAGUUAAGGACUUUUGGCUUGAUGCAUUGUUGAUCCAGUGAGGUUCUGUUGCUGUGAGGCUGGGAUUGUGAUCUUUGAGGUGUAUCCAGCAGCUUUCCCUAACCGGCAGCAACACCUUUGAUUGUGAUCUAUUGGUGAUCACUUUGGAUUUGAGGAUUCUGAUUCGAGACAAGCAUCUCGACGUUGACUUCGGAUUUGGGAUUGUAACUUCUAUU